GACGAACGCUGGCGGCGUGCUUAACACAUGCAAGUCGAGCGGAAAGGCCCUUCGGGGUACUCGAGCGGCGAACGGGUGAGUAACACGUGAGUAACCUGCCCCAGACUUUGGGAUAACCCUCGGAAACGGGGGCUAAUACCGGAUACGACACAGCUUCGCAUGGGGUCUGUGUGGAAAGUUUUUCGGUUUGGGAUGGGCUCGCGGCCUAUCAGCUUGUUGGUGGGGUGAUGGCCUACCAAGGCGACGACGGGUAGCCGGCCUGAGAGGGCGACCGGCCACACUGGGACUGAGACACGGCCCAGACUCCUACGGGAGGCAGCAGUGGGGAAUAUUGCACAAUGGGCGGAAGCCUGAUGCAGCGACGCCGCGUGAGGGAUGACGGCCUUCGGGUUGUAAACCUCUUUCAGCAAGGACGAAGCGUAAGUGACGGUACCUGCAGAAGAAGCGCCGGCCAACUACGUG
rnacentral:rRNA from 1 species